AUUGAACGCUGGCGGCAUGCCUUACACAUGCAAGUCGAACGGUAACAGGUCUUCGGAUGCUGACGAGUGGCGAACGGGUGAGUAAUACAUCGGAACGUGCCUAGUAGUGGGGGAUAACUACUCGAAAGAGUGGCUAAUACCGCAUGAGAUCUACGGAUGAAAGCAGGGGAUCGCAAGACCUUGUGCUACUAGAGCGGCCGAUGGCAGGUUAGGUAGUUGGUGGGACAGAAGCUUACCAAGCCGACGAUCUGUAGCUGGUCUGAGAGGACGAUCAGCCACACUGGGACGGAGACACGGCCCAGACUCCUACGGGAGGCAGCAGUGGGGAAUUUUGGACAAUGGGCGCAAGCCUGAUCCAGCAAUGCCGCGUGCAGGAUGAAGGCCUUCGGGUUGUAAACUGCUUUUGUACGGAACGAAAAGCCCCGGGUUAAUACCCUGGGGUCAUGACGGUACCGUAAGAAUAAGCACCGGCUAACUACGUGCCAGCCGCCGCGGUAA
rnacentral:rRNA from 1 species